GAACUCCCCUGUCCUGCAGGUGUGUUGGCUCUCUCAGUCUGACCGGACGUUGCACAGACCUCGAGUGCUAAAAAAAAACUCUUGUGCUCCUACUCUCUUUGCCCCCUCUACUCCCUUUGUAACCAGAACAAAACCUGAUGGGACGUCAGUGCUGUUUACCCUUACAGUGAACAGAGCCCUGAACUAUGGAAGGCCUUGAGGAGCAAAAGCCCUGUGAGACCAAUGUCCUGCCCCAGCAUGACAGAAUACCAGACAACUACAAAAAAUGGGGAAAUUGCAUCACCCCGCCACAUGCAGCAUCAACCUGAGCCUGCUGCAGAAGGAGGGCCAGCGCCCGCCUUGAUCGAUGAGUCAACGGCAAGAGGAGCGACAGAGCUGAUGAUCGCCCUGGAGCCAGAGCCUCAUUGGUCGUUUGACCAGGUGUGAAAGCCGGCUACAAUACAUGCAAUGGUGGAAAGCCCCACUCACCGUACCACCGCUGAGGGUGAGCUGAGGCAGGACUCAGGAGAUUUUAUAGACUUUUAUUCUGAGGUACUUCUUCUGUCAACAUCUGAACUCCCUAUCAGUCCUGAAAUAAUCAUGGAGGUCUGUUUUGAACUGUUUGUCUGCUUGCAACUGUCUGUGUGUCCUGUCAUGACCAUGGAGGUCAUUCCCCUGUCUGUGGCACUCCCUUGUCAUGGGUGUUGCCAUUUGGUGUGUGUGGGCAGCAUACACCAUCUCUGAAACCCUUGACUGUUAUGAACUUCCAACCAGCCAUCGCUGCAUCCUGCCAGCCCAUCAGCUCAUUCUCAGCCUUUCUUCUGUGGACUGGAGUUGCAGCGGGCCUGUCAGUCUCCUGAUCAUUGAGGUCGGAGGAUCCCAGGUCUCUGAUUCCAACCUCCGAAACCUAGACUCCAUCUUGGCCCAUUGACCCAGCGGCUCCACCAUGGCUCCUGUCAGUCCAACAGCUUUGCUGGGCUUCCUCGUCCCUCUGGCUCCACCUUGGUCAGUCGUCGACCAUCCGCCGCCUCAGGACUCCAUUCUUUUGGUUGUGCCUGAUCCCUCCAUCUCUCUGGCUCCAUUAGCACCCUCCUUCCCUCCAACUCCACCUUGGGCCUUUGUCACUCCAACUCCACUUUUGCCUUCCGGAUCCCAACCUCCGCCAUGGUCACCUGAGCCAUCUGGUCGCCUGAGCUAUCGAACACCCAACUGCUCCCCGGGUGACGCAGCAUAAAUGGCUGCCCACUGCUCCAGUCCAUCUGUCAGGAUACAGCUCACGUAACUAUAAGGCCUGGAGGAAGGAAGUCUGCUCUGCCAAUGGACUGGAACCUGCAAUCCAGUUGUGUGUGGCUGGACAGGGGCAUGAACCGACUGACCUGUGGCUGGAUUGGCUCUAAAAUCUGCUGAGAGACGUGGGUAGGGUCCAUUAUACAGUUGAUUGAAUUCGUAUGCUUUCAAAAAUCUUACCAAUGCAAACUUUCAGCCCACUUCAGCAUGCCAUAUCACAUCUCCCACUCAGUGUGAAGACUAAUGAGUCUGUUUGGUUGUGGUUGCCAGUCAGACUAUUCAUUAAAAGUGUUGCAAAGGCAAGCGUCAUUAUUAUUCAAGGCCAUAACCACCAUAGACAGUAAAAGGGACAAAUCCCUUCCAAUAAUUAGAAAUGGGCAGUUUAAUAGUUCUUUUUAAAUGUUAUAAUACAUUUUUUACCUGUUAACCAUAAAUCUUGUGGUGAAUUUUAAAUGUGUUGGUCUCUUUUUAAAGAAGGCACUUGGCAGGUUAUUGCUGAAGAAAAA